ACGUCACUUUGGUUCCCUCGCAGCCCAGCCCCUGAAUAUGUGCUGUGGAAACUCUGUCCCUAGUCUUGGUCCAGGGGAAGAUGGGAUUCGGAGGAGGCUACCCGUGGUCACGCGGGCAAUGGCGGUGGGUAAGGGGGGGCUACCGUGUUGGUCUUCCAGGUGCCCGGGACCGGAAUUGCCAGGAGUGAGGGCGGAUGUCCCGCCCCGCACACUGUGCAGUGGUUCCCUUGGUGACGGUAAACCAGCCUUGAGUGCCAGCGCUUCAAAUCACCCAGAGACUCCGAGGGCCACCAGAGACCUCUGGGUGAGGCAGGCUCGCGGAGACUCAAAGACUCGGAGUCCCAGGUUAUGCAGUGCUUUGUGGUGGAGUGCAUAGGAGACAGUGAAAUGCUGUGUAAAUUCUGCCUUCACCAGGAAGAACUCACACUUGUGGCUAAGAUUUAUUAUAACAGAGUCAGCAGAAGGCAAGAAGAUGCAUGUGAUGCAGGAGUCCAGGCAUAAGCUUCUCAGAGUCCACAGGGGAGCCGCACAGGCCUGCUCAGUCCCGGCAGCAAGCUCUGUGAAGUGCUGGCCAGAGGCUGGGGCUAGGAGUCUGAGGUCUGUACCCCUUUUCUGUGGUGCUGGGAUUGGAGUGCAGGACCUCAUGCAUGUGAGCCAGUGGCCCAAUGGUGUGCUGUGUCCCCAGGCUCUCCACAGGGCUGGUUGUAUAGGUCAUGCAGGUGGUGCAGGCCAGGCCAAGCAUGGGGGCUGCUGACACAGUCACUGAGCUCCGGAUGCCCAGACAGGAAGUGGCCGUUGAGCAUGAACCACCGUGUUUGCAGUGUGGACCACAGAAGGGAAGGAGGUGUUUGCUCCACAGAGUGUUGCCCCGCAGUGUAGGAAUGGGAGCCAGCCUUCUCCUUCAAGGGAAGUUGUACCACAGUUCCUGGUUACCAAAGCCCAGUCAAGGGCCACCCUUAUAAGCAGACCUUCCUAAGAGCUGUUUGGGGCUUGGUAUUAACCCAUUUAGGCAUAAAGUGUAAAUGACAUCAGCAGUUCAACUAGUGACACAGGCUGCCAAAAUGGAUGAAGAAAACGUGUGGCCUGACUCUUAACGCUGUCUCUAAGAAAGUCAUAUGUGACUAUAAAGUAGUUUAAAGGUGAGGGAAUGGGAAAAGAAAUGAUGUAAACAGCAGGUGAAAGAAACUUGAUGUAAGUAUUAAUAUUAGACAAAUUGGACUUUAAAGCAAUGGACAUGAUGCGGAAUAAAGAGGGGCAGUAUGUAAUGAAAGAGGGGCAGUAUGUAAUGAAAAAGGGUAAAAGGACUGAGUAGCCAAAACUAUUUUGGGAAAGAAUAUUUAGAAGAAACCCACUGGCAAGCUUUAAGGCUUUUUAUGAAGUUACAGUUGAGGUAGCACAGUAUCGUGAAGGGAUCUAUAGUCCCGAUGUUGAUGUACACAAGUAGGGCCAGCUGACCAGGCAUGGUGGCGCUUGUCUGUAAUCCCUGCACUUAGGAGGCUAAGGCAGGAGGAUUGCCGCAAGUUUGAGGUCAGCCUGGGCCAUACAGUGAGUUCAAGGCCAGUCUGAACCACAUAGCAAGACCCAGUCUCAAAAAACCAAAACAAACAAAAAAGUAGGGCCAGCUGAUUCCUGACUGAGUGGGCAGCACUUCAGUAGAAAAGUGUAGAAAAACUGUAUGUGCAAACCAAAUGAAGCUCAUCUGAAACCUCCCGAGUUAGCUCAGCAUGCAGUGGGCUCACAUCCACACAUAGGCUCCACUGGCUAAACCUCUGGGACUGCAUUGAAGGACCUCCAAUUGAAACGAAGCCUGAGUACCUCCCUCGUGGUGUGUGCAUGUUAGUGUCGGACAACCACCACGGUAUGAAGGCAGGCACAGAGAGGGUCGGUAGCUGCGGGGCACAGGGCUUCCAGAUACACCAGAUGGUAAGGUCAGGAGAGACUGUGUGCUGUGAGCUGCCAUCAGGCUAGAGUGGGAAGCAGAUAUUUUGGAAGACUUCCCCAGGGGAGUCUCAGCUCCUGGAGUGUUUGCUUUCCCUGCUGAUUCUGUCCUGGGUCAUGCAGCGCCCAUCUGGAAAAUGGCCCUGUGGAUUCCUGGGUGUCCCUACCCAGUGUCCACUGUCACACAGCCCUUGUAUGGCUGGAUGGGAAUGAACCAUCUGGACUAGCUGCUCAGAUCCUGCCCUGGCCUUACUGCCCCCUGGGAGGUCAAACCACUGAGCUGUCCAGUUACCUCACUUAACGUGUUCUAGUUUGUAUCUCUGGAUUUGUCCUUAUGUCAUGCUUUGCUGGACGAGGUGGUGCACACCUGUAUUCAGGUGCACACCUGUAUUCUCAGCUAUCUGUGAGGCUGAGGCAGGAGGAUCAAGCCCAGCCUGGGCAAUUGAGUGACUUAACGAAAAACAAAGGAACAAAACAUGCUUUUAUAUUAAUGUUGUACCUUGAUCUGUAAUGCCACAUAAGUAGACUUAGCUUUUAUUAUUGGUAUACAGGAAAGUGAUUUUGAUUUUGCACAUUUUUUUGUAUGUAGAUGAUUUGCUUAAAUAUUUCAAGUACUCACCAAAAGUUCAUCCCCCAGCCCCAGUUUUCUUGGUUUUUAAUUAUUUUUUAUAAACAUAAUGUCUUUUGUUGCUGGGUAUUGAACCCAAGGCCUUGAGCACGUUAAGCAUGUGGUUUACCACUAAACUACACCUCUAGCCCCGCUUUUGGUUUUUUGAAUUAUUGUACUGAUAAACAUUUUGGACCCAGACAUGGUGGCUCACCCAUCAUCCCAGCACUAGGGAAGCUGAGGCAGGAGGAGCAGCCUGUUAGAGAUCAGCCUGGGCUACAUUACAUAGUGAAUUCAAAGGCCUGCCUGGACUACGCAGUGGGACCUUGUCUCAAAACAACCCCCCCCCAAAAAAAAAACCCCUUAAAUAAUAAGGUGAUACUAGGCAUCCUUGGUCACAAAACUUUUUCUGGUGGGCAGCAUCAUCUCAGUUUGGUGUCCUAGCUCUGAAGUCCUCAUGGCUGAGCCGUGGUCUCUGUAGGAAAGGUUUAUCUCUGUGGUCUCAGGCAGGUGGCUCAGCUUUUCCUGGAUUCCAGGUGCUGGCAAGCUCACAGCAGACUUCUGGCAAUGUUGAAUGUUCCUGGAAAUCCCCCAUGCUGGGGGCCACAAUCUUCAAAGGAGCAAGAUUACAUAAAUUCAAGGCCAGUUGACCUUGUUUUGCCAACUUUUGGACAGACACUCCCUAAAUGGUUAAACAAGCCCGUCAGCAGAACUAAGGAUGUGAUCCAAAGUUUUAAGGUAACAAAGGAUACAAAAUGGUUAAACUUUAGUCUCCCUUUAGUUACCUGUUGGGCAUCGGUAGGCCCAAAUGAAGUCUUGGCUUAUAGCAAAAAUGGCUUUUAACAUCAUACCACAGGGAUAUGUGCACACUCAUGUUUAUAGCGGCACAGUUUGUUGUAGCUGAAUCUUGGAAACAGCCCAAAUGCCCAUUAAUGGAGGAAUGGAUACAGAACAUGUGGGUUUUUUUUUAUACAGUGGACUACUACUCUGCCAUAAAGAAGGAAGAGCUUCAGACAUUUAUAGCUAAAUGAAUGAGGCUUGAGACCAUAAUCUUAAGUGAAAUAAAUCAGAGACACAUGUUUAAAUACUGUAUUGUUUUUCUGGUGUGAGAAACUGAAAGUGGA